rnacentral:rRNA from 1 species
GACGGGACCGCACAAGCGGUGGAUGAUGUGGAUUAAUUCGAUGCAACGCGAAAACCUUACCUACCUUGACAUGUCCGGAAUCCCGAAGAGAUUUGGGAGUGCUCGCAAGAGAGCCGGAACACAGGUGCUGCAUGGCUGUCGUCAGCUCGUGUCGUGAGAUGUUGGGUUAAGUCCCGCAACGAGCGCAACCCUUGUCAUUAGUUGCCAUCAUUGUUGGGCACUCUAAUGAGACUGCCGGUGACAAACCGGAGGAAGGUGGGGAUGACGUCAAGUCCUCAUGGCCCUUAUGGGUAGGGCUUCACACGUCAUACAAUGGUCGGUACAGAGGGUUGCCAACCCGCGAGGGGGAGCUAAUCCCACAAAGCCGAUCGUAGUCCGGAUCGCAGUCUGCAACUCGACUGCGUGAAGUCGGAAUCGCUAGUAAUCGCGGAUCAGCAUGUCGCGGUGAAUACGUUCCCGGGUCUU